rnacentral:rRNA from 1 species
UACGUAGGGUCCGAGCGUUGUCCGGAAUUACUGGGCGUAAAGAGCUCGUAGGUGGUUUGUCGCGUUGUUCGUGAAAACUCACAGCUCAACUGUGGGCGUGCGGGCGAUACGGGCAGACUUGAGUACUGCAGGGGAGACUGGAAUUCCUGGUGUAGCGGUGGAAUGCGCAGAUAUCAGGAGGAACACCGGUGGCGAAGGCGGGUCUCUGGGCAGUAACUGACGCUGAGGAGCGAAAGCGUGGGGAGCGAACCGG